rnacentral:rRNA from 1 species
CCCUUAGAUGUUCUGGGCCGCACACGCGCUACACUGAAGGAGGCAGCGUGUACUCCUGGAUCGAAAGAUUUGGGUAACCCGCGAAUCUCCUUCGUGCUAGGGAUUGAGGUUUGCAAUUAUCCUUCAUGAACGAGUAAUUCCCAGUAAGUGCAAGUCAUAAGCUUGCGCUGACUACGUCCCUGCCCUUUGUACACACCGCCCGUCGCUACUACCGAUUGAAUGAUUUAGUGAGGACUUCGGACUGGGACCGAUGCGGCUUUCGGGCUGCGUCGGUAUUCUGGAAAGAUGUCCAAACUGUAUCAUUUAGAGGAAGUAAAAGUCGUAACA